rnacentral:rRNA from 1 species
UACGUAGGGGGCGAGCGUUAUUCGGAAUUACUGGGCGUAAAGCGUGCGCAGGCGGUUUGUUAAGCCAGAUGUGAAAGCCCCGGGCUCAACCUGGGAACUGCGUUUGGUACUGGCAAGCUAGAGUACGGCAGAGGGGGGUGGAAUUCCACGUGUAGCAGUGAAAUGCGUAGAUAUGCGGAGGAACACCGAUGGCGAAGGCAAUCCCCUGGGCCUGCACUGACGCUCAUGCACGAAAGCGUGGGGAGCAAACAGG